AAAGAAAGAAAGAAAGAAAGAAAGAAAGAAAGAAAGAAAGAAAGAAAGAAAGAAAGAAAGAAAGAAAGAAAGAAAGAAAGAAAGAAAGAAAGAAAAAGAAAAGAAGUGUGGUACUCGUCAGUCCCUUCUCCAUCAGGGCAGCUUCUUUCUUUUCCUCAGCAGACAGUUUAUUUUCUACUCAAUGCCUCGUCUCAUGUUUGUCUAACUUCUUUAAAUGAGAGCAAGCACUGUGCUUUUGUUCUGCUCCUCUUUCAGGGCCUUUUUGCUGAUCUUCUCUGCAUGUAUCUGAAAGAUCAGGAAAACAAAUCAAUACGGAAAAGGACCUCCUGCCCCUUUUAACCUAACGUGUGGGAGGGAGGGAAGGGAAAUAGCCAAUUACAUGAAAGGGAAUUUUAAAUAUGUUUGAAAACAACACAGUGGGAGUGAGGGUUUGGAAGGACAGGUGUCGACAAGACCAGCCUCUGCAGUCCAUGGGGUGCCUUUAUGAACUUGUGGUCUUCUCCUCCACAGCAGCAUAUACUGGCCGAACCAUACAGCUGAAAGGCAUCCUGUGGAAGAGGCACUGUAGCAGGUCUGGGAGGGAUCAUUGACCAUGAAGAUCUCUGCAAGGGUGACCUUGGUGCACUGGGAGCUGGUCUGAGACUCACCCCAUGGUCUGAGGGCUAGCAAAUGCUGACCGCUGUCUUGUACUGGCUGGAUUUGUCUCAGUACUUUCUGGUACCACUGUCCUAUUUACUCUCCUCCAGCACCAAGAUCAGCAGAUAGAGAACACAACACAGCAGAUAGAGAAUGCAACACUUUAAAACCCGGAGUUUCAAACAGUGGCUGUCCAUCCUAGGUGCCAAACACAGAAGCCCACUUUAUGGAUGUUCUUUGGUCUUUGUUUUUCUUUCUCCCUGGUGCCCUGCACCAAGCCAGUACAGUCCUGCACCUGUUGCUGUACUUUGCAGUGUUGUCAGAAAAGUGAGCCUAAGUUUGAUAUGCCCAGAAAUUAAAACACAAAUUGGUCUGUUAGACCAAGCAAAGAGUAAUUUACCUGCAGCUUGCUUUACUUUGUCAAAGGAGAGUAAAGCUGGCAUUAUUCUGAGUGUGAGCACAGGUGCUUUGCUGUGGAGAAGCAAUAGACUUUGAGACAAGAAGGCUUCCUGUGCUGCUCCAAGUAGCUCUGAUCUUCCUUCAUGUCUCUGCACGGUUUCAAAGUGCUGCUAAUGGGGAAUUAUUAACAUUAGGCCCCCUGUAUUGCUGGAUCAUAGAGGCCUUAAUGGCCCCCCCUUGUGGGAGGGGUUGGAUUCUGAUUGCAGUGUUGUAAAUCUAGAGUAUCUUAGAUGACUUUAAUAGAGUUAUUCCCAAACAAUCCAUGUAUAAUAGAAGGAGAUGAAGAAUUUUAAAAGCAAUAUAUUUUUAUGCGGGUUAGCUGCCCCACUCCUUUACUCUGACCAAUUGUUUAGGAUUCUCAUGUUGGUUUGAAAUGUUCGCUCAGACACGGUCUCUAAUCAAUCCAUAUACACACUGUGAUGGAAAUUUGCUUCUUGCUUGCUGCCCAAUGUACCUCAGAAAAUGACACCGAACAGCUCAGCAUCUCCCUGAGGUGAUGGCACGGCCAUCCAUCUAUAACUCACCCGGGAGCAUUUUGCAGACCUUUUGAGGUUGAGUUGCUCAAAAACAUCAGGCAGCGGUGUUUAGCGUGAACUUGUGCUCAUCUUUAUUUCUCCAUGGAGACAGCAGCGCUGGAGCAGUAAUCUCCCCUGAGAAUUCCCGCCUAAUGCGUGCUCUAAACGGCCAAGAUGUGCUGCUCACCUCCUCCACAACCACGAAAAGAGGAGUGAGUCGCUAACUGAGGCUUGAGCAAUGAAAAUCAGAGCGAUGGGCUGCAGUGGAGUAGGCUGAUGAUGGAAAAGAUGAGUAACUAGCAUGUACAAGUUAAUUGUUGAAGGCAUUGUGUGUAAAAUAGCUCAUUUUACAUGGAGACAACCUUGGAUGUUUGUUGGGGUGGCAGAGCACUGUGGGUUUGCGCCAUGUGCUUCACACCACUGCUACACAUUUAUUCUGCUGAUCAGAUAACCUGUUAUUCCUACUGCUCCAAGCUGCCAAACUUGCCCCACUUGCUGAAUUCUUGCACUGUGACAGCAGC
rnacentral:lncRNA from 1 species